GAGCUUCAACGCAUACGUGCGGGAGGGGAGCGCGCCCGCGCUGCCGGAGACGAAGCGGUUGUACAACAAGCUGCGCUCGGUCGGUAUCAAGCCAGUGUUCCUCACCGGCCGGACCGAGGACCAGAGGGCCAUCACCGUCACCAACCUCCGCCGCCAGGGCAUCUCCGGGUGGAUGAACCUGCUGCUGAAGCAGCCCGGCUUCAAGGGCUCCGCAGUGACCUACAAGUCCGGCGAGAGGCAGAAGCUGCAGGACGCCGGGUACGUCAUCGUCGGCAAUAUCGGCGACCAGUGGAGUGACAUCCUCGGCGCGCCUGAGGGCGCCCGCACUUUCAAGCUGCCAGACCCCAUGUACUACAUCGGCUAGGCUGCCUCCGGCUCGGGCAUGCCGUCAUUGAUUUCUCGAUCGAAUAAGCUCCAUGCUCUUAGUUAUAUUCAUGUUUAGCCAAUAAUCCCUCCCCAGUUGUUGCUUCGUUCAUUUCCAUUGUCGAGAACUUGAGAUUAAAUGCUAUUAUGAAUGUGUUCGUGGAGAAGUUGCAUGUUCUUUAAUCAAUUGAUCCAUGGUCCACUGUUUUGUUUUGCGAGAAAUCCAUGGGCUAUUGUUGUGUUCUUCUUCUUAACUUUUUUUUAGGAAAGGAGGAUCACGCCCGACCUCUGCAUCAGAAUGAUGCAUGCAGCCCUUUUAUUAAGCAAAGUAUCUGAAAAGUCCGCGGUCUAGUACAAGCUUGCUCGGAGCUAAAAAAAAGUAAUGAAAGAAGGUAAAAGUUGACACAACCGGUGAAAAUUGGACAAGAUGACUAAACACCUAGCCUAGUACUAGACCACCAUCCAAACCGAUUGUAGAUAUCCCGAGCCACCACCUCUCAUCGGGUAGACCCAAUAACCAAAGGCUCCCUGACUUCCGCAGAAGUGGGUAACGGCCAUGUACGGAUCCAAGUAGUGGCCCUAUAAAUAACCUGCAAAAAGUUUAUACUUGUUUAUCUGUUAAAACCCAUAUCAUUUCUGCAGUUCCAUAUAGUCCAAAGUAAUACGCAUACUCCUAUCCGAAUAUGCCUAGUAGUAUUUGGAUCAACUCCAUUUAGCCACAUCCCAAAUAAUGUGUGAAUAUUAUUUGAAGCGGUGAUAUUAAAGGCUAUAUGAAUUGAACGUCAUAAUAGUUUGGCCAGCAGAAAAUCGAGAAAGAGGUGUUUAAUAGCUUCAUGUUGAUAAAAAAAAGGAGCAUCGUUGACAACUACGCUUUGCCAAGUAAUCCUUAUUCAGAAUCACCUCUUGUGAACAAACCACAUAAAGACUUUGAUUCUUAACGGCACUUUAAUCUUCCAAAUAUGUAUCGAUUUCAGAAUCAGACCAAAGUCAAUUAGGUGUACGUGCAUAGAUUUCAUUGAGAAGAUCCCGUUCAUAGUUAAUCUCUAGUGAAUAGUAUCUGGCUCAUCAGAGAGGUGAACGUUCAUCAACCUCCGCGUCAGAUGUAGCCAUGCGUCCCAUCGGUCUCCUACUAAAGAUCGUCGCAAUUGAAUGUUUAGAUAUUAACAUUCGGUCUUCUUAACUUGUAUCUUGUACUUUUGAUGGUGCAUUUUUUUACCAAAUAUUAUUGAUGGUGGAACUAAUAUCAGAGGUACAUGUAAUAUUAUCACAUAUAUGAUGUCACUACUAAAGAAUGACCCUUUUUUGCGCCCCUCCAUCAAUGGGCCCAUUUUGACCCGUUCGAGGAAGGGUCGUCGUUGGCGGGUUACCAAACGCCCGUCGCGUGAGACUGCAGAGGCAACCAAGGGAUGGUUGUCUAAACAGGUUGCCACCACAAAUCAAGAGAGAAAGGCUAUGGGAAGCAAGAAAAGUUAAGCCUCACUAUGAUAGUUGCUUGGACGAUUUGGAACGGAACAGAUGUGUGUGUCUUCCAAGGUAUUUAAGCGCUGCCAAAAAUUAUCCUUGCAAAGAUUAAAAAUGAGGCGGCAAAAUUGGUCAAGGCUGGAGCAAAGGAUUUGGGAAACAUUAUGUCGGAAGAGUACCCCGUUCUAUUAAUUUAGCGUUUCAUUGUUGGCCUGUCUUUGUCUCUCCCUUAACUAAUAGAAUGAUACAAAUAGUUUGCCUCCGUUUUUAAAAAGGUUCAGAGCUAGCACCGUUGUAUCAUCCCUCUACAUCAGCCCACUCUAGAGAGGGUCUCUGCAACCUUUUUCUUUCGGCCAUCUUUGUACGACAUGAUUCGUUUCUUGACAUGGAGUGUUUGAGCGUGUUCAGCUAUCAAUAGCAUAUCACUUAAAAUUGCAUCGCAAAAGAAUAUCAUACACUUGCAUGUUUUUUGCACUUUCAUCAAUACACUAUGAAGCGAUAAAAAACACUCAAUGGAAUAUUAUGUAGUAACACACUUCAACAAAACAAGAUUGCUAAUAACCAAAAAACGCAGCCAGAUUAGACCUCUAUGUUCUUCGUCAAAGUCAAGUGAUCUUUAUAGUUUUGUGAGAAUAAAUUUCCUCUCGUUUUUUUGGCAGUGCCAUGAGGUUAGAGAGUUUUUUGUCCUCACAGAUUCGACUAUUCAGAUAUGAUGAGUUUAUGUUGAUGUGUCAAGCUUUUUUGUUGGUUUGAUUCUUUGUGGAGGUAAAAUCUUUCAUCGACACCAUGAUAAAGAUAUAGUGAUUUGACGACCUGCACUUCUAGGGGAUCAGCCCCGGCCCAAGUACGUUUAUCGAUCAAGGCUACCCAUCUUUCUAGAUGGGCGACUCAAGACGCUUUCAAAAACCAUUAUUGGCAAUGUUUGUGCGGGUGAAAGAGUGACAACAUCGUUGGUCCAGUCUAAUUGCAGCAUCUUUACUGAAGUCUUUGAAGUAUUUCUUCGAGCUAAGAUUGAUACCGCAAAGAAGGUGUUUCCAAGAGAUUUCAUUGUAAUUCUUAGUCACAUGAGCUACUUUGUAUUUUCUUGGAUCUUAGGUCCAAAUAAGUGUAUAUAUAAUUGUUAUGAGUAUGAAUAAAGUGGUGUUUCUAAAAAAGAAUCUCCAUAACAAUAGUAAGUAUGUAUGAGGAUGUCAGAAGUCAGAACAUCUUGUGUAUGGUUACAUGCUACAACACUAUUCCUUAGAUAAACUAGUUGUGUAGAACUUCAUCCUUUUUCAGAAUCUUGUAUUUGUAAUGCGACAAACGAACUAAUGCAUCGCGAUCUAAAGUAAAUCAUACCCCGUCCUAUGAAAUUUAAAGUGAAUCUACACUUGAUGACUACAAAAGAAACAUAAAACUAUACAAGCAUGUGCGAGAAAAGAAAGAUGAACAACUUAUCAUUUGCCUCAUAUGUCAUCUAACUAAUCGAGUGGUUCGAAUAACUUUGCUUCGCCACAAUGAUGACAAAGUCAACCUUUUAUUGAAGCCCGAACUCUGCAAUAAAGCUGCAAUGGUAGAUAUAUUAUUUAUCAAGGGAAUCCACAAAGCUGAGCUCCUGCACACAAGAGACUAAGAGAGUAGGUGAGUUAUAAAAAAAAUCAAGGAGGGUGAGUGAGGUGCACGAUGAAGUUAAAUAUUAGAAGUACUCCAAAAUAGUGGGGUACCAAAAUUAUAGGCCUCGUUGAUUCAAAGAAUUUUCAUAGAAAUUUGAAGGAUUGUGGUCCUUCAGUUUUUUCCCUACAUUGGUUGUUCGGUUUGUAUGAUUAAAUUCUAUAGGAAUUUUUCCUAAUGAUUCCCUUGUACUACAUUUCAGAGAAAUUUUAGCAUCUAAUCAAACAUCCUGAAAAGAAUCAUUUGUUUUUAUUGUGAAACAAUCAAACCAAUCAAAAUCAUAUAGGAUUCAUACAGUCAUAACAAAUGCAAUCCUAUUUAUUUUCUAUUUCUGUGUUUUUGAAUCAUGUGAAUCAAAUAGUAUUGGCCAUAGUGUACUCCUAUAGUAAGUUUGGCAUUUUUUUAGACUGACAGGAGGGCAGAAAACACCCCCCCGGCUCCACUAUUUUCAUUGAAAACGUGAAACCAGGUUCACAGAGAGAACAACCUUCUGACAAAGGUUCUAUGGGACUUACACCAUACUACACUCCCUAAACUGCAAUGCAAAGCAAAAGUAAGGGGAGCCAAUCGCUCACAAGGUUCGAGGGUGUAACUUGUUACAAGCCUCAAAGUCUAGAUCAGAAACUAAGGUGCUCACACCCAAAACAGAAAAUUUCCAGCCGAGAGUGUCAUUUCUUCAUUCGCCCACCGGUACAGCUCCAGCCUUCUUCUGACUCGCCUGGUAUGCACAUCCCCAUUUGAUUCUCUUGAAGGUUUGUACAGGGGUCAGCGGCAGUUCCAGCGGAGUGGCAGGGCUUAGCGGCGAUGAGUGUUUGCAGUUCCUCUCGGGGCUGUUCGGAGGUGUGUAGCGAACGGGAGCCAGUAAACCUGCAAACCACCCCUCAUUUCCCAGCGACAUUUUAGAGAGUGAGUCUAGGCUCAAGAUACCUGCGGUAUCAUUGCCAUCGAUCACCCCAUAGUCAGCAGGAAAGGGGAGGUGAGGGUCAUUGCCACUUUCUGUGAAACCAGCUUCAACUCUUCUAAGGGAUUUUCUUUGAACAAGAUCAUCCACUUCUUGAGAGUCAGAUGGAUCUGCCACCAAAUCUGUUUAAGGUCAGUCCACGUCACAUUGUUGAAAACCAUGGAAUUUCUAAACUUCCAGAUGCACCACAUAACACAGGCACAAACAGAGUUCAAGACCAGCUUAUUCUUAUGGGCUGGCCAAAAUCUAGCAAUAGAUAUGUAGUCAUUGCCUACAUCAUGAGAAAGGUUUUUAGAUAUUUCAAUCCAAAUCUGUUUAGCAACCACACAACCAAAGAACAGGUGGUCUAUGGAUUCCUGUUCUUUGCAAAACAUACAUUCAGGUGGUUUAGUAAUACCUCUUUUUAACAGAUUAUCUUUAGUCAUUAACUUGUUAUGAGACAAGAGCCACAAAAACACUUGUACUCUAGGAGGAACCACUAUAGACCACACAGAAGGUAUAUAUAUAGGUUGCACUCCUCUAAAAUUAAUAAUAUUGUAAAGAGAACUAGUAGAGUAGACCCCUUUGCUCUCAUAUUGCCAAAUUAGGGAAUCUUCAUCAUCAGUCAGCACAGAGCUCUUGAUGAUCUGCUCUAGGCAGUACCAAUUCUCCAUCAUGGCAUCUGAGAAAACCCUUCUAAAUGUCAAUCUGACAUCAACCCCAUCCCAAAUAUCUGCAACAGUCACCCCCUGCUGGUGGCAGAUAGUGUAUAGGGGCCAGAACUGAACUGACAGUGGGGAGGUGCCAAACCAGAUGUCUUCCCAAAAUCUAAUUUUCUUACCAUUACCAAUUUUCCAUCUAUAUCCAAACUUCAGGGCUUUUGCAGCCCACAUUACCCCUUGCCAGAAUUUGGAGGUGUUCUGGGGGUUGGAGGCAAAAAUGUUUGGACUUUUCUUAAUAUAUUUAGAGUCUACUAUCUGUUUCCAGAUCUUGCCCUCAUCUUGGAUAUAUCUCUUAACCCAAUUACCUAACAGGCACAGGUUAACAUCCUUGAUGUUAGGGAUACCCAUCCCCCCAUAUUCUUUUCUCAUGCAAACCAAAUGCCAGUUUGCAAGAUGAAGUUUCCUAUCCCCCUCGAAGUCACUCCAAAGACAGUGAGCAAGCUGGCCGUUGAUCAGGUCCAGAGCCCAUUUGGGGAAUUUGAAGAAGGAGAGCAGGUAGACUGGGAUGCUAGCAAGACAAGCUUUAAUCAAAACCACCCUAGCAGCAUAAGAGAGUAGCUUUCCUCUCCAUCCAGCCAUCCUUUUGAGGAUCUUGUCAAUAAGGGGCUGGAUGUCCUCCCUCCUAAGCUUGUCAUAGUGAAGAGGGAUGCCCAGAUAUUUAAUAGGGAAGGUACCUACAACACAUUCUAAUAUAUUCUUGAAAGAAUCUACCUCUCUGCCAGUGAGCCCAAGAGGGAUAAUCUCACUUUUUGAGUAGUUGAUCCUCAUACCAGAUACAUUCUCAAAACAGGUUAGAACAUGUUUGAGGUUAGUAACCUUAUCUUCAGAAUUGUCUACAAAGAGGAUGGUGUCAUCUGCAUAUUGAAGGCAGAUAACACCUCCAGGGAUGAGAUCAGAGCACAACCCUUUUACUAAGUUAUGAGAUGUUGCUUUGGCCAGCAUCCUGGUCAAAACAUCUAUUACAAGGUUAAAUAGUAGUGGGGAGAAGGGGUCUCCUUGUCUCAGUCCUUUGCCAGUAGUGAAGAAAUCUCCUUCUACCCCAUUGAUUUUCACUCCAAUGGAUCCCAUUUGGGUGAUCUGCUUGACCCAGUUUAUCCAUUUUGUGCCAAAACCUCUUUUUUCUAGAAUUUCAUAGAGAAAAUCAAGAUUCACCUUGUCAAAGGCUUUCUCAUAGUCUAGUUUGAUCACUAGUCCAGCAUUACCAGAAUGCACGGUGGAGUGCAGCACUUCAUGUGCUGUCACCACACUUUCUAGUAUGUAUCUGCCCUUAAUGAAGGCAGAUUGGUUACUGGAGGUGAGGAAAUUCAUCAACUUAGCUAAUCUAUUAGUCAAGACUUUGGUGAAGACUUUGAAAAUGCAAUUAAGCAGACUAAUAGGCCUGAACUUCUUCAUAUUAGAAGCUUCUUGUUCUUUAGGAACAAGAGUAAUCAUAGCAAAGUUAAGCCUGUAGAUGUCCAGGUCUCCCUCAUAAAAAUCUUUGAAGAGGGCCAUAAUAUCUUGUUUUAGCACCUCCCAAAACUGUUGUAAGAAGAGAAAAGAGAGCCCAUCAGGGCCUGGGGCCCCAUCUGAGUAAGACCCAAAAAUGGCUUCUUUCACCUCUUCUUCAGUAAAAGGAGUUUGAAGAGAACUAUUGUCUUCUAUUUUAACUUUUUCUCCUUCAGAGAAGAAGUCAUCCCUCAACCUAAACCCAUUUCUACUCUCUUUUUUAAAGAGAUCUUUGUAAAAGGAGGAGGCAAUGUGUAACAUGUCUUUGGUCUCUGUGACAGUGCCAUUAGGACCAUCUAGGGCAUGAAUCUGUGUUUUCCUCCUCCUUUGAUUGGCUACAGCCUGGAAGUAUUUAGUAUUCCUAUCUCCCUCUAGGAUAUCUUUAUCUCUAGAUCUUUGUUUGGCUUUCACUUCAUCUUUAAGCCAAAUAUGGUGAAGUUCUUGCAUUACCACUUUCAUCCUAUUGAUCUCAGAGUCAGAUAACUGCUCUGUUUCAGCCUUAAUAUCUAAGGAAUCAAAUUCCUGUGUGAGGUGGGCUUUAUGUUUUCUAAUAUCAGCUUCUAUAUUUAUGCUCCAUCCUCUAGCAAACCUCCUAAACCUCCUGCCUUUUUCCUGCCAAAUAUCUAUAGCUUUUUUGUUCUUGACAGGAGCUGUCCAGUUCUUGAUGACUAAAUCUCUAAAUUCUGCCUUCAGCAGCCACCAUUUUUCAAUUUUGAAACUGGUGGGUUUAGGGGGGCUACUCAGCCCAGAGUCCCAUAGUAAUGGUGUGUGGUCACUCCCAAUUCUGGGAAGAGCUUGGGAGCUGCCUAAAGGGAACAAAGCAUCAAAAUCUGUAGUACAGAAGAUUCUAUCAAUGGUAGACAUAACCAAAUUUUUUUGGUUAUUGGCCCAUGUGAAUUUUCUGCCUGACAUUUUAAUUUCUAAAAGACUCCAGAUCUCUACCCAAGCCUUAAAUUUAUCACUCCAGUGGUGAUUGAUAUUGCCAUUACUCUUGUCUUUUUGAUACCUGACUAGAUUAAAAUCACCACCAAUCAGGGUAGGCAGAUGAUCAUCUAUGAACAAGCUAUGUAGUUCUGAUAUAAAAUCAUCUUUACCUUCCUCAUAAGGUGAUCCAUAAACUCCAAUAACUCUACAUUUAAUCUUACUGGCUUUGAUUGUAAGAGUGCAAGAGACAGAGUAUUUGAGAGAGAGCCAACUAUCAAUCUCAAAGAUGUCUUCAUCCACUCCUACCAGGAUGCCACCAGCAGUGCCUUCUGCAGGCAGGUCGUGCCAUCCAAUGUUUCUAUUGUUACAAAUGCUUUUCAAAAAAGAUGAAGAGAGCAUUUUUCUCUUAGUUUCCUAGAAGGCUAUGAUGCAAGGUUUGACUUUGUUGAGAACAUCUUCUAUACAGGAUUUCCUGCCAGGGGCAGCAAUCCCCCUGAUGUUCCAAAAAAGGCAAUUCAUCUAAACAAUGUUUUCUUGGGGUGCUUGCCCCGCCCAUAUUUUGACACUUUGGUCCAUAGAUUGCUAUAAUCUAUCCCAUUAUGUGCCUCAACAUUACACCCUUCAGGUGUAUGAGGAGAGCUAUCAUGAUCAUCUAUGCUAAAAAAGGUAUCAUCCCUAAGGAUGUCCACUACACCAGAGGGCCCCACAGGCUCUUUGGUUUUGUCAAUGCUCUUCUUUAGCCUAUUUUUGUCUACAUUAGGUCUAUCUAUUUCAAUACCUAUUUUGCUAGCAGUAUUAAUGAAAUCAGGAUCAGAAAAGUACUCAAAGGAAUUCUUUAGGAGGGUACCUUUGUAGCUAUUCUUCUCCAUCUCCAGGUUGAGCAUCUUCUUUUUGUUAACUGCAAUUUCCAGCAUAGUCUUCUCACCUACCUCAACCCUGAUGCUUUUCCUCUGAGCCUGCACUGGUCCCCAAAUCUUCACUUAUUUAGGUAAGUUUUCCCCCCUGCUCCUUGAUGACAGCAUUGGGGCUGAAGAUCACACCUACUUCUUCUUCAGCAAGAGGCUCUUCACAGGUAUCAGCUAGAUUGUUGAAGAUCUCAUCAUCAUCAUCAUCCUCUAUCUCCAUUUCUUGAAGCAGCUGGCAGCUAUGAGCAUCUAACUCUGUGUCAUGCAAAUUUUGCAGGAAGGACAUGGUAGUUUGUUUUGAAUGUUGGUGACUCCCACUAGUUUUUCCAUUACUGUUUGACCUAGAGGUAGAGUUCAGGUUGUUUGUGCCCCCUUCAUUGUGUCCAGCAGGGGCAGUCGUGUCCCUAUUGGCCCCUGUGUCUGUUUCUCUCUCAGAUCUGUCAUCUAGUAAGUCAUCACUUAGAUUUUCCUCAUUUGGUGGCUCCACAGUAAUGCCUAUUUUGUAUAACUUUGUACCUACUCCAAAGAUUCUGCUGGUUGGAAUUUUAGUGUAGUCUUUGCAUCUAACUUGGACUCUGACCACUUCAAAAAAGGAUUUGAAGUUUCCUUGCCAAUCUACAUCUACAAGUGUACCAACUACAGAGGUGAUUUGCUCCAGCACUGCCCAUUCAGCCCACUUUGGCGCCACUCCAGUGAGCCAGUGAGCUGCAGCCACACUGUUUGCAGCUCAGCCACAUGUUCCAUCUCACCAUUCCACUCUUCCACAUUGACUGUAACACCUUCCAUUUCUGGUAAACCAAAGUUGGGGUAGCCAGCCACUUGGGCUAUUGGUAUAUGUGGUGGGAACUUGACUAGGUAGGUCCAUUCAUCCAACUUCCUAAUUUGCCAAGGCCAGUUGGUUUUGUAGAUCAGAGAGAAGUUAUGAGCCAUCUCCUCCUUAGUCACCUGUCCAGCCUCUAUGUACACUAUCCCUACAUUUUUCCCUGCUCCUAGAUGUUGCCCAUUCACAUCAGGCACCUCCACUGUAGGAGAUAUGCCCUAGAGGCAAUAAUAAAUGAUAUUAUUUAUCUCCGAGUUCAUAAUUAUGUUUAUGUUCCAUGCUAUAACUGCAAUGAUUCUCGAGUCUGCAAUAUCCACGAGGCUCGGAGGAAGACUCAUCUGCACGUGUGGAAUAAUAAACGGUAAGAAGUAUUCCUAGUCUGGCCUCUAAGACUAGCUCAAGUGUUGCAUGAUGGUUCUGUUUUCCUGAUCAUGGGCAUGUCUAUGCCAGCAAUUUUGAGGGCACAAUGUUAAGAGAACAUUUGUGUUGAAUCGACCCGGAUUGAUGUUAUGUUAAGAGAUUCAUUCGUCACAAGUUAAUGGUUUAUAACACAGAGAUAGUUAAUGUUUGCAUAAUUCCUUAGACCAUGAGAGUAUCGAGUUUCUUCAUGCUUGCUUCAUGAACUUUGGGGUUUGUUAAACGUCAUCCGUAACUGGAUGGCUAUUACGGCGGCUUACGGGUUCAUGGGAAAGUAUGUUAAGUAACUUGAUAGCUCGAGAUUGGGAUUUUCUCCUCCGAAGAUGGAGAGAUAUACUCGGGCCCACUCGGUGUUACGGUGUCCAUCAUCGUCUGGCCAGACACUUUGUGAUUUGAUCACGGGGAUGCCGGAACACGAAACGAGAAAAGAGAACAAAACCGGUAACGAGGUAACUUGCAUAGUGGACAAAGUGUUGGCCCACGGGGAUGCAAUAAAUCUCACCUCAGGUGUUUGUGAUAUAUCGUGAAGCAACAGGAAUAGCUCACCUCAACUGGAGGUUCACUCGAAUAUUCAUUCGUGUGGGUAUAGGGGUCAACAUGGGUGUCCACGGCUCCGAUGUUGAUCAUUGAUCGGAAGGGGGUUCCAGGUCAUGUCUAUACUUCACCGAACCUAUAGGGUCACACGCUUAAGGGUCAUCUAUCUGCUGAAUACUAGACAGGGAGUCAGAGAAAAUCACCGAAAAAGUUUCGGACACCGAAAAGUUUCGGACAGCGGAAUCGUACCGCAGAGAGAGGUCACCGGAUGAGUUUCGGUGAAACCGAAAAAGUUGUUUCGGGGUAUGCCAUUAAGUCAAAAUGGUUUCGACACAUGCCUGAUAAUUCUUGGAGGGUGCCAGAAUCAUUCUGAAAACUUUUUGGAAUUUUCAGAAAUAAAAACCGAAAAUGUUUUGGAGCUGCCGGUACCGCUUUGGCUGUUUUUCGCAGAUGAAAUUCACUAAUCUGAAAUUGUGUCAGAACGAAUCCAAAAUCAUUUAGUGGGUACUGGAAUUAUUCUAAGACCCACAGAAAUAUUUUCGGAUUUAGUGGACGCGAAAAAUUGUCUUCAUGAAUAGUGAAAACGCAUUCUUGUUUGCUUUUCACAGAUGAAAAUCACUAAACCGAAAUUGUUUCGGAACGCGUUGAAAAUUAUUUUAGUGGGUACUGGAAAUGUUCUGAGCCCACAUAAAUAUUUUCAGUUCGAACGGACGCUGAAAAAUGUCGUCAUGAAUAGUGAAAGUGCUUUUUGCUUGGCUUCUUGGAGAAGCCACCUUGAGGGCCUUUUUGGUAUUCCCCCCCUUGGCUUCUUGGAGAAGCCACCCUUGGGCUUGGCCUAUAAAUAGGGGUGGAGGGGGCUGCCUAAAGGAUCAUCCCUUCUCACAUACAAGUGCCAUGCAUGAUCUGGCUUCUCUCUCCCUCCCAGCGAAAUAGUUUCGUAGAGCCGAAAGGCUGUCUGGGUUCCGGUGGGAACUAGUUCUGGACGGCGAAGCCCUGCCGGAUAGAUGACACCGUAUGUGUGCAACUCUGUAGAGAGAUCGUAGUUUCGGUCUUAGUUCAUGAGUGCCUCCCGAAGGGCUGUCCGUGUGACCGUCCGAGUUUCGAAGGUCCUCGCGAAGGGCUGUCCGAGUGACCGUUCGAGUUUCGAAGGUCCUCCCGAAGGGCUGUCCGCGACACCGUCCGGGGGGCUGUUCGACCGCCUCCCGGAGGGCUGUCUGAGGAGCAGAUGAGGGUAUACAUCCUCGCGGUUGGGAGGUUGGAAAUCCUAGCUGCGGGGAUCUGCACCGCCGAUCGUCAUCGACUCUACUUCCCGCUGCGCUACGAGUCGGUAACGAAAAAGAUCAAACCUUGUAUGCAGUCUCCAUAGUGGUCCUGGGCUGGUGCGUAGGUCGGAAUUUUUUGUUUUCUGCUGCGUUCCCCUACAUCCACUUGGAAAAAACCCAGUCCUGUGGCUGCACUGCCCACAAAUUUUGCAGCAUUCCUUGGCUUUUUCCUCACUCGGCAGUCUUCAACCUUGUGGUUUACCAUUUUGCAAAUGAAACAGGCAGGAGCCUGCUGGCACUGAGUCUUGUGAUGACCAGGUUCUCCACAACUAUAGCAGACCACAUCAGCAUAUUCUUGGGGUGCAUUCUCCUUGCUCUUGAAGGUACUUUUGUUCUUAACUGGCUUGCUUUUCCUUUGCUGGUUUCCAACAUUGUUGGUUCUAUUCCCUUCAACUUGCCCUUGCACAGACUGUUGCUGCUGCUGUUGCUGUGGUAUAGCUCCUGUCAGAUUGUUCAGGGUGCCCCCAUUGCCAGAGUUUUGAGCCCCCUGGCUGGUGCCCUGAUUUUGAUUCUGGGUCGACUGGUUGCCCUGAGGGCCAGGCUGCAUCUGCUGGAGAGGAUUUCCCCCCUGAGGCAUGCCAGAAGAUUGCCCCACCCCCCAUGUAUGUGGGUUGUUCCAUUGGUUCACUGGAGGGGGUAGAAUGGCCCCUGGUACCAUGGAGGGGGAGGCCCUCCCUGGAAGCCAAAACCAAAAGGGAAUUGCGGAGGGGGAGGACCAAACUGUCGGUCGAAUUGUGUAGCCCACUGGGUUUGGUUACCUGUGUCUAAGCUGUUGAUCUGCGAUCUGUCACCUGCUCUUUUGCCUCUCCCCUGGCCUCUUCCUCUGCCUCGAUCCGCCAUGGCCCUAAGCUUGGUGAGGUCUGGAGGUGUUCCAGACCACCGGCUUUGCGAGAUGGAGACGGAAAUCGCCUUGCUGUAAACAGGGUCUCUAGCAGUCUGGCUCUGGGCCGGGAAGCAAUCUUCCGUGGUGAAGUUGCGGCUGGGGAUAAGGUCUCUCCUCACCCAAACCAGCACCGAUCGGUGAUUUAUAGGCCCGCCGCUAGGGUUUGCAUCUUCUACUUCGAUCCAGAGCUGACCAAAUAUCUCAAUCAGGCCCUCCUCUUCGCUUUUGCUUGAGCUACUUUCCACCUCAUCUGCUUUUGAUUUUCCUCGCCGCGCUUUGUCUGCCCUGUUUUUCCUCUCACCGCCAGGUAGGCCCUGUCGCCUGAAUCCAUCUCCGGCGAAGCAGGGGAUCUCACCUAUGACGGUGACAGGCUCUGACGAGCACCCGCCCCGGUGGUGUUCGCCGGCGGCUCUGCCUCCCCCAUCUCUCCCCCACCACGCUGAGCGCGAGGCGGGGAUUGGAACGCAGCUCUGCAGAGGGGGGAGUCCAGCCCCAAAUCCGUGGCGCGGUCUCCUCGGCGGCUCACCUCGCACGGCGAAUUGACGGCGCGCACUACCCAGCUCACCAGGGUGGUGGCUGGAGGGACCAGAAGGCCCUCCACUUCACCCGCUGCGCCGGAAUCGCUGAACCCAUCUCCGCACGAGCCCAUCUGAUGAUUUCAUCUGGCGAAGCUGAAUCUCCUGGCAGCAUCCUGGCCAUCUCCUCCGGUGUGGCCUCGACGCAGAUCCGCGUGAUGAGUUUCUGGAUCGAAUCCCCUCUCCUGGGGAUCCGCAUCGUCCGCGCCAUGCGCAUCCGCACCAUUCCCUCCGCCAUUAUUUCUUCCUCGAGAUCUCGAAGCGUCCUCUCGCGCGCCAUUAGGCGGAGGGGCUGAGGGGGAGCACUUCGCGCGAGGUAGCGGCGGGGAGGUCGACGGCGGUGGGCGGUGUGGUGGCUGGUGGCGCGGUGGCUGGUGGUGGCGGUGGCGGUGGUACGCGGAGGGGAAUGCGCAUCCGCACCAUUCCUUCUCAUGCAUUGGUAAUAUAAGUUCUAUGCACCAUAGUAAGUUUGGCAUCCGUCCUGGUCCAACAAAAUAGUGGUGUGGUCGGGAUCCCGCUGUGCGAUAUCUCUUACUCGUUGUGUAAACUAAUAUAGGACAUUUUGGAUCACUCAUUUAGGGUUUUAAAACAUCUUAUAUUAGUUUAUAGAGAGGAGUUUAUGCCCUCCACUUGGCGGACCAAGUUUAUCACCAGUCUCGGUCGUCGACAACUAGUACUGCUCAUGCACGUGAGCAUAUAUUGGGUUUAGGCACCGCUGUCUGAUCCACUUGACCACCGCUUGCAGCGGUGAGUUUGCAUGUUACGUUGGAUCGCCGUUGUUUUGGUCCUGCAUGGAUUGAUGGCCGGAGUAUCUAGAACCAGACAGAUUAGUACUAAUCAUAGUAAUUAAGGAGUAUAUCCACUAGUAUCUGACAUUCACUUGGCCACCUUAUCGUUUAUCCCAAACGGGCUACGUACUCACCCAACAUUACAAUCACCGUGGCUAAACUACACUCCUUCAAUUCCAUAUAUAAUGUAGUCCAUAUAGCUUUUCUUUUUUAAAUCAAGUUUUACGAACUUUUACCAAGUUUAUUGAAAAAACCGCUUACAUCUAGAAUACCAAAUAUCUAUCAUAUCAAAGAAUUUUUUUUUUUUGACCUGAAGUGAACGCCGGGUUUUUAUUCGUGAAAAUUUAUAUACUAGUGCAAAAGAAAGUCAAGUUUAUUAUUGAAAAAACUUCUGAACUAUUUUGACUUUUUUUUGUAAUUUUAUCUUUUUUCCCAUAGAGGGUGUAGAUACAACGAAGAACCAAGGGGUAUUCCCUGCUACUCCCUCCUUUCCAUAAUGUUGUGCAUGCAGAUUUUCUGAAAAGUCAAACCAAACUAAUUUUGACAAGAAAAUUAUUUUUAUAUACAAUUCAAAUCAUACCAAAUAUGAAAAUAUAACUGAUGAUGUUUCGACAAUAUGCAUUUGGUAUUUUAAGUGUCCAUGUUUUGCCUAUAGACAUAUUCAGAGUUUAUAAUGUUUGAUUUUUAGAAAACCUAUAUGCACUAUAUUAUAGAACGAAGGGAGUAUAAUUAACUGAAUUAUUGGACUAACCGCAUCAAGAUCGGAUCACAUCGGUCCACUCUUUCCUCCUAUCCCCAACCCACGUUCUGAAGGCGACCCUAUGCAUGACAUCAACCCCCGAACCCCCUCCCUCUUUUGUUUUGUCAGUUAAUUUACCUCAAGCUCACAGUCACGCGCGCGCACACCUUCCUAUCUAACAAUCGAUCGAUGCAGCUUCCCUUCCCCUCCCUUCCUAUUUAACAAGCUCCUUGCACCUCAGGAAGGGAAGCACCAUUACACACGCUAGAAAUGGAGAUGGCCAGGACGACGACACUCCUCCUCGCCGCCGCGGCUCUCCUCGUGGCCUCAUGCGGCGCGUGGGAGGCCAACAUCCGCAUGCCGACCUCGCUGGACGAGGCCGUGGUGGCGCCGCUGAUCCACGCGCUGCGGCCGCUGCUGGGCUCCGGCAAGCACGCCGGAGUGGCGUGCGACAGCUGGGUGCUGGGCGUGGAGGCGCACAACGUGCGGGGCUGGAAGACGGUGCCCGCCAGCUGCGAGGGCUACGUCGGCCACUACAUGCUCGGCAGCCACUUCCGGCGCGACUCCAAGGUCGUCGUCGACCAGGCCCUCGCCUACGUCGACUCCCUCAAGCUCUCCGGCAACGGCAAGGAGGUCUGGGUCUUCGACAUCGACGAGACCACCCUCUCCAACCUCCCCUACUACGCCAAGCACGGAUUCGGGUACGUUUACGUAGACACUUUUCUAUGCUACGUGUGUUCAUCAUGGACUUGCACUGAUCUUUUCAUUCAGAUAAAGUAAAACUCUGACCACACCUCUAAAAGAAAAUUCAACUCACUAGCUAGAAAGCACCAGUAUCAUAAGAUCUCUACUGAAUGAAAGUGGGAACAAAUGAGACUAGAAGUGGAAAUAAAAAUGCAUAUUUUGGACAUCAUUACUGCUCACCUCCAAUUAAUCACAGUCACUGAGACGGCCAACAAAACAAGAGCAAAACAUACUCCAUCACAUUUGCCUCUAGAAUGCCAAACAUAUAUAUCAUAAUACUCAUCAUAAGAUGUACUUUCAUAUUUUAUAUAUUAGGUAUUCUAGAUAAAUAGUUUACUUUAUAAAUUUAAUCUAAGUUUGCUAAGUUUGACUUUUUAAAAAAUUAUAUGCACUACGUUUUGGAACGGAGGGGGUACCAUCACUACUACAGUUAGUGAUAAAGAUGUGAUGUGAUGGGCAUCUGUUAUCCACUUGGCUAUUUUAUCGAACGGUUUAUUUUUCAACCGUCAUUAUCAACUGAUUACUAUCUAUAAUUAUGUUAUCAAAAUUGAGUUUAGAUGGAUAAUACUUAUAAUAAUGUGAAUAUCUAACAAAUCGAGGGGUUCAAGUAACUUUGCUUCACCACAAUCAUUUGUGACAAAGCUAACCUUUUUUGUUGAAAGCCGAAACUCUGCAAUAAGCCUUUUUUAGCGGGUAAAACAUGCAUUACUCAACUCAAAAGAUCAUUACACUCGAUCGCUGCAAUGGUAAACCUAUUUUAUCAAAGGAAUCAAGAAAUAAGCAGAGCUCUCACGAGUCACAAGGAGGGUGAGCGAGGUGCACGAUGAGAUUAAAUAUAUACAAGUUGUGAGUAAGUUUGACUCUUAUUCUUGGUCCACAAAAACAGUGUCGGAGUUGGAUCUCGCUGUGUAAUAUUAAUUAAUUAAUUUAGAACUCCACUUGGCCAACUUCAUUAUUUAUCAUCAGUCACGUUCGUCCACAACUACGUACAGCAUUGGGUCUAGGUACUGUUCAUCCGCUUUGGCCAUUUGGCCACUUGGACCACAAGGUUACAUACUUCGGUUUGCAUAAUUACUUAUUUUUGAACUGGUAUGCAUAUAGUACUACACAUAAAUCUAUCUUCAUAUACACAUACGUGUGCGCAGCGCUACACCAUUCAACGCGACGAGCUUCGACGCAUAUGUGCUGGAGGGGAGCGCGCCGUCGCUGCCGGAGACGAAGCGGCUGUACAACAAGCUGCUCUCGGUCGGUGUCAAGCCGGUGUUCCUCACCGGCCGGACCGAGGACAAAAGGGCCAUCACCGUCACCAACCUCCGCCGCCAGGGCAUCUCUGGGUGGAUGAACCUGCUGCUGAAGCAGCCUGGCUUCAAGGGCUCCGCGGUGACCUACAAGUCCGGCGAGAGGCAGAAGCUGCAGGAUGCCGGGUACAUCAUCAUCGGUAACAUCGGCGACCAGUGGAGC
rnacentral:lncRNA from 1 species